GGGCACUCUAAAGAACUGCCCGUGAUGAGCGGGAGGAAGGUGUGGAUGACGUCAAGUCCUCAUGGCCCUUACGGGUUGGGCUACACACGUGCUACAAUGGCAUCUACAGUGGGUUAAUCCCCAAAAGAUGUCUCAGUUCGGAUUGGGGUCUGCAACUCGACCCCAUGAAGUCGGAAUCGCUAGUAAUCGCGUAACAGCAUGACGCGGUGAAUACGUUCCCGGGCCUUGUACACACCGCCCGU
rnacentral:rRNA from 1 species